rnacentral:rRNA from 1 species
UACGAAGGGGGCUAGCGUUGUUCGGAUUUACUGGGCGUAAAGCGCACGUAGGCGGAUCGUUAAGUCGGGGGUGAAAUCCUGGAGCUCAACUCCAGAACUGCCUUCGAUACUGGCGAUCUAGAGUCCGGAAGAGGUGAGUGGAACUCCUAGUGUAGAGGUGGAAUUCGUAGAUAUUCGCAAGAACACCAGUGGCGAAGGCGGCUCACUGGCCCGAUACUGACGCUGAGGUGCGAAAGCGUGGGGAGCAAACAGG